rnacentral:lncRNA from 15 species
UUCUAGUGGCCAUGGCACAGUUCAUCCAUCUGUCACUGCUGCUGGCAACAAUCCAGCUGCCUUUGGGGUUUUCAGCAACACAGAUAUGGCUCCGAGAGGGAAUCACUUUUAAAUUUACUGGAGGAGGGAAAGUUAAAAGUUGUUCCAAAAGUGUCUUGGGUGACACUGUUAUUGACAAUACACCGGGCAAGUCCUCCAACCUCCUGAACGACAAGACUCUGACCAUUAACAAACCAAAACUCAACUGUAACUUUGUCUGCUAUGGUAACAAAAAGGAGGUUCCAGUCCUGUAUCUGAACGUAACAAGAGGUUGUAUACGGACAUUUUUCUAUGGUGUGGAUUUUUCCAAAGGUAAAAAAACACAGAUCGAAGGCACAACUAAAGCUGGCUGUAGGAGAUGCUGUACUGAAGAUGAAAACUGCAAAUACUUUACAUCUCAUACAAAGAAAGGAAAGGAAAAUGAUAAAGGAAAAUGUUUCCUGUUUUCAUCAAGUGAGGAGCUGCACCUAGAAAUAGGAAAAAGCAAUGCUGUCUCAGGGUACCCUCUGAGGAACUGUACAGAAACAAAUGGCAAGUGA